AGAGUUUGAUCAUGGCUCAGGACGAACGCUGGCGGCGUGCUUAACACAUGCAAGUCGCGCGAGAAAGUGGAGCAAUCCAUGAGUAAAGCGGCGCACGGGUGAGUAACACGUGACUAACCUACCCUCGAGUGGGGAAUAACUUCGGGAAACCGAGGCUAAUACCGCAUAAUACCCACGGGUCAAAGGAGCAAUUCGCUUGAGGAGGGGGUCGCGGCCGAUUAGUUAGUUGGCAGGGUAAUGGCCUACCAAGACGAUGAUCGGUAUCCGGCCUGAGAGGGCGCACGGACACACUGGAACUGAAACACGGUCCAGACUCCUACGGGAGGCAGCAGUGGGGAAUUUUGCGCAAUGGGGGAAACCCUGACGCAGCAACGCCGCGUGGAGGAUGAAGUCCUUCGGGACGUAAACUCCUUUCGAUCGGGACGAUAAUGACGGUACCGGAAGAAGAAGCCCCGGCUAACUUCGUGCCAGCCGCCGCGGUAAUAC
rnacentral:rRNA from 1 species